CCUCCGGGGGCAGGAGGUUCGACUCGAGCGAAGCGAGAGAACGUUGCGUCAGCAACGGCCCGCAGGGCGAGCCACGAAGUGGUGAGUCAUCCUCUAUCACCGACCA
rnacentral:sRNA from 1 species